GCUCACUGCAACCUCAAAUUCCCGGACUCAAGUGAUCCUCCCACCUCAGUCUCCUGAGUAGCUGAGACUACACGCACACACCACCUCGCCCAGAGAUGGGAACUGUCACCAGCCCACUUUCACAGAUGAGAAGCUGAGACAUGAAGAAAUGAAGUGACUUAGAGUCACCCAGCUCUACCUUCUUGGAAACCUCCAUGCCAUUGGAGCCAAGUGGAGGAAGAAGCAACUGCACAGGCUGAAAUGCAAAAGAAGAUGAGGCAGAGGUCCAAGUAAACAACCAGCUUAUGCACACAUGGAGGCCACAGGAGCAGAAAUAUGGAAUGCCAGAGGCUGGGGACGUGGGUACAAGUUUCUGGGCUGCAUGCUACUGUAUAGAACUUGUCUGGCAAUGGAUCUAGAACUUCUAUCGCCAUCCAAUCGCCAAGACCACCCCUGAGAGACCCAUUUUGCUCCUACCAAAACAGUGCCUGUUGUUCCUUUGCCCUGGACAUUCUAGACUAGUUCUGCUCUCAGAACUAGUGGCCGAGUGUAACAAGUAUACAAUAAAUCAUCUUUUCUGCUGUCUUAGCUGAAGAAUUAAAAAAAAAAAGGCAGCUAGGGGUAGUGGCAUAUGCCUGCAGUCCCAGCUACUCAGGAGACUGAGGUGAGAGGAUCACUUGAGGCUACAAUUUGGAGUCCAGCCUGGGAAUCAUAGCAAGACCAAUAAAAGAAAAAUAAAUGAUAGAAAGAAAAAAGAAAUAAUGGGUCAUAGACCCAAAUAUAAAAGUUAAAACUAUAAAAUUUCUGGAUAAUAUAGAAAAAAAUCUUUGUGAUCCUGGGAUAAGCAGAAAUUUCUUAGAUGAC